GGCCAGUGUUGAGAGGCGGAGACUUGGGCAAUUGCUGGACGCUGCCCUGGGCAUUGCACUUGUCUCGGCUGAGACGCGCCCGCC
rnacentral:pre_miRNA from 13 species